rnacentral:lncRNA from 1 species
CGCGGACCCCGGGCCGGCCGCGGGCGAGCACGGGGACAGGCGUGCCGGCCGGCGUGGGCUCUCCGGCUGACCACGCGGCAGACCCCGGGCCGCAGUCGCCCUGGGGUGGGGGUCGCCGGCCGACAGACAGGUGCCUGGAAGGAGCAACCGGGGCCUCGUUUACACGUCUCAGGGAGCACACGAGACGCUUCUCAUCUCUGCACGGUUCUGAUGCUUCUCGGUUACCGUGCGUGUUUCUGGGUAUGACAUUCAAGUUGGUCUGUGUAUAUAUUGCGCUUCCCCGGUGGCUCAGCUGGUAAAGAAUCCUCCCGCAACGCAGGAGACCUGGGUUUGAUCCCUGGUUUGGGACAAUCCCCUGGAGAAGGGAAGGGCAACCCACUCCAGUAUCCUUGGCUAGAGAAUCCCAUGGACAGAGGAGCCUAGCGGGCUACAGUCCAUGGGGUCGCAAGAGUUGGACGACACUGAAGCGCCUGGGAUGCACGAUUUUAUUCUUAAAUAAAUGCUCAGCCUCAGGCCUGGUUAGGCAGACAUCAGAAGAAGGCAGAUCGCAGGCCCCUCGUCCGUGGGAGCAGUGGGAUGGCCCAGGGAGGCAGAGACUCCAAGAAGGUAAGCAGGGCGCUCGGGGCAGCAGGGGUCACCGGAGAGGGUGUUUCAUCCUGUGACUAGGUUGUAAAGGCAAGGAACAAGCUUUCCUGUUUCACCUGACCAGUGUGGAAUUUUUCUCACACAUACUGAAGCUGACAUAUCCAUGACUGUGGAUCUGAAAUGUGAGCAAGGCCUUUGUCUUACUUGGUUCCAUCUGUUGUAGAUGAUGCAGAAGGAGCACCGUGCCAUCGAGUCAUCAGCGUUCCUGCGUCUGAGACCAGCAGGUCCACCCCGCGUGAGCGCACGUCUGCCCCGAGAUGCAUUUAGCAGGAGAACUCCGGGAGCACUACGGUCUGCGCCGUGAGGGGACACGCUCAUGAGUUUGUCCGUCCACUGCUCAGUGAGAUUCAUGCUUAUCCAUAUUCAUAAACACCCCAAGAGAUAAGAGUUCUUUGGCCAGAA